AUAGGGGAGCCGUAGGGAAACCGAGUCUUAACUGGGCGAAUAAGUUGCAGGGUAUAGACCCGAAACCCGGUGAUCUAGCCAUGGGCAGGUUGAAGGUUGGGUAACACUAACUGGAGGACCGAACCGACUAAUGUUGAAAAAUUAGCGGAUGACUUGUGGCUGGGGGUGAAAGGCCAAUCAAACCGGGAGAUAGCUGGUUCUCCCCGAAAGCUAUUUAGGUAGCGCCUCGUGAACUCAUCUUCGGGGGUAGAGCACUGUUUCGACUAGGGGGUCAUCCCGACUUACCAACUCGAUGCAAACUACGAAUACCGAAGAAUGUUAUCACGGGAGACACACGGCGGGUGCUAACGUUCGUCGUGAAGAGGGAAACAACCCAGACCGCCAGCUAAGGUCCCAAAGUCAUAGUUAAGUGGGAAACGAAGUGGGAAGGCUCAGACAGCCAGGAUGUUGGCUUAGAAGCAGCCAUCAUUUAAAGAAAGCGUAAUAGCUCACUGGUCGAGUCGGCCUGCGCGGAAGAUGUAACGGGGCUAAACUAUGCACCGAAGCUGCGGCAGCGAUAUGUAAAUAUUGUUGGGUAGGGGAGCGUUCUGUAAGCCUGUGAAGGUGUGCUGUGAGGCAUGCUGGAGGUAUCAGAAGUGCGAAUGCUGACAUAAGUAACGAUAAUGCGGGUGAAAAACCCGCACGCCGGAAGACCAAGGGUUCCUGUCCAACGUUAAUCGGGGCAGGGUGAGUCGACCCCUAAGGCGAGGCAGAAAUGCGUAGUCGAUGGGAAACGGGUUAAUAUUCCCGUACUGGUGAUAAUUGCGAUGGGGGGACGGAGAAGGCUAGGCUAUCCGGGCGACGGUUGUCCCGGUUUAAGGAUGUAGGCAGGUGAAUUAGGCAAAUCCGGUUCACUA
rnacentral:rRNA from 1 species